rnacentral:lncRNA from 1 species
GUUAUGUAUUUCCAAGGGAGUGUCUUUCAUUUUCCAGCUCUGUCUGGAUAAAUAAGUUUCUUUGCUUUACUUUUUAAGAUUUAUUUCCGGUUCACCCUAAAGGUUAUAAUCGCAGGCCUUUUGGGUCCCAGUCUUAUGCAGAUUUCUCUCUAGGUGUGGUCACCAGGAUUUUCAUCUGCCCUCACAUCUAUGUGCUCAACAAUGAAGAAGCUCAAUCAUUUUCAACAGAAAACUUCAAAAUGAAAUCUAGCUUUGUUUUGAGUCUCUGUGGAUUUCUUAUUUUGGUUCUGUCAAGCGAAAUCUUGCUUCAGACCCCAUGGGGGAUGUUCCUCACAACUGCAGGUGGAGGAAGGAAGGGUUGUGUUAAUUAUUUCACAGACAAUGUGUCCUUCAAGAAACUAGAAGAAGCUGGGCUUCCAAAAAUGAGACAGACAUUAGAAGAGCCCAUUUACAAGCAGCAGCAGGAGCAGAAGAAACAGUGAUGUGGAGGAGGUGAUUCACAACUUCCUCUGUGAGGAAAAAGGAACCACGGAGGCCUGAGGUGUCCCCAGGGCCACUAGCCGGCUGUAAAAGCCACUGCUGAUCUGGAAUGGUGCCUCAAUCUUGAACAUUUGAAAUUGCUUCUACUCCAUUGUUAUUUUUAGUAGAGUUGUUUCUUCAAGAAAAUUGCUCCCUGAUCUUGUCUCUCCCUUGCUCUCAGACUAUGUGCAUGUUUUAACACAUUUGGUCAUGAUAGUCUACUUUUCUUAAUCUUAUAGUUGUUACUAUACUGUGAAAAAUGGAAAAUUUGAGUAUGUCGGUUGUAUGAUCUUACAAUGUAAAUUACUGAGACUUGCAAUGGAACAGCUUAUCAAUCCUUGAAGAUAUUUUUAUUUGAUAUCUUCUUAUGGAAUUCUUGUCUGCAAAUCUUAAGCUGAAAAGUCACUAGAAAUCUGUUUAGAAAUGAAUUAAAAAUUACAUUGCUUUUUUUUUUUGCUAUGUGCACUAAGAAUUGCUGUCAAAUUGUCCAUAAAGUCUGUGUACUGAUUCUCAAAACAACUGAUAAAAUCUUUAUUGUGAAAGGAAAAAAAAAAAAAGGAUCUGAACAGGCACCUCCUGAAAGAAGACAUACAGAUGGCACAUAAACUCGUGAAAUGAUUCUCAACACCAUUUGUUGCUAGGGUACUGCAAAUUAAAAAAUGAUGAAAUACUACUUCACACCUAUUACAAGGACUAAGAAUCCAGAAAAUUAACAACACUGGCAAGGUUGCAGAGAAAUUUUCAUCCAUUGCCGAUGGGAAGACAAAAUGGUACAACCUUUAAAUGACAGCUUUGUAUUUUCCUAUAAAACUAAUUUUACCAUAUAAUUUAGCAAUCUCACUUCCAACUGAGCUGAAAUUUUAUGUCACACAAAAACCUGUACCUGAAUAUUUAUAGCAUCUUUAUCCAUAAUUGUUAAAAACUAGAAGCAACCAAGAUGUCUUUCAAGACAAAUGUAUGAAUAAACUGUUACACCCUAAAAUGGAAUAUUAUUCA